GCGAUUGGGACCUUUUUGAUUCCAAGAAGUGCCGCCGGUUUGCCAUCUAUCCCUUUGCCUUCUCUCUCUCACCAGGUUUAGGCUUUGGUUUCUUGAUGUAUUUCCGGUUCAUCUUUUUGGAGAGGUCAGCAUCAGCUACUCGGAAUUGAUUUCGUUCAAAGAAGGUAGGUUCCUUGUGGACCGUUAUAUCUUUGUUCUUUCCUUUUCCUUGUGGCUGAGGAGUGUUCCUGUUUCCGAGCUCCACUUUCGAGUACUCGGUUUCUGUGAUGCUGGCUUAAUCGGUUCCAACCGACCCGUCUUGAAACACGGACCAAGGAGUCUAACAUAUGUGCGAGUAUGCGGGUUUUACUCCUGUAUGCGCAAUGAAAGUGAGAGUAGGGAGAUUUUGGCUUUGCCAUUCUUCGCACCUACGACCGACCACGAUCUCUGAGAGAGGUUUGAGUUGGAGCAUAUCUGUUAGGACCCGAAAGAUGGUGAACUAUGCCUGAGUAGAAUGAAGUCAGGGGAAACCCUGAUGGAGGUUCGUAGCGAUACUGACGUGCAAAUCGUUCGUCAAACUUGGGUAUAGGGGCGAAAGACUAA
rnacentral:rRNA from 1 species